rnacentral:rRNA from 1 species
UGGCGGCAUGCCUUACCAUGCAAGUCGAACGGUAACAGCUCUUCGGAGGCUGACGAGUGGCGAACGGGUGAGUAAUACAUCGGAACGUGCCCGAUCGUGGGGGAUAACGGAGCGAAAGCUUUGCUAAUACCGCAUACGAUCUACGGAUGAAAGCAGGGGACCCUCGGGCCUUGCGCGAACGGAGCGGCCGAUGGCAGAUUAGGUAGUUGGUGGGAUAAAAGCUUACCAAGCCGACGAUCUGUAGCUGGUCUGAGAGGACGACCAGCCACACUGGGACUGAGACACGGCCCAGACUCCUACGGGAGGCAGCAGUGGGGAAUUUUGGACAAUGGGCGAAAGCCUGAUCCAGCAAUGCCGCGUGCAGGAUGAAGGCCUUCGGGUUGUAAACUGCUUUUGUACGGAACGAAAAGUCUCGGGAUAAUACCCUGGGACCAUGACGGUACCGUAAGAAUAAGCACCGGCUAACUACGUGCCAGCAGCCGCGGUAAU